GAUAAUUUAGUUUGUAUGACGUAAAAUAAGAUGGCCGCGCAGUGGUGUUUAUCUUAUUGAUGUUCACGUACUGAUCAUAGAAAUGAAAAAGAGGCAUUUAUAUUCACCGUAGUUUAUUUUAAGCACGGAUUAUAUUCAUAUCGUGCUAUUCUUCUGAUUUUUCUGAUUUUUGUUGAGGGCGGAAAGACCGCAUUUUGAGGAUAGUUUAACAUAAACAUGUCUACCAAAGUGGACAGUAUGGAGAGAAGUGAGUCAAGUGCAAAAAACAGAAGAAGGUCUCACAGCAGUGGAAGAGAGAACCGGAAGCGGGCAAGGAGCCGAAGCAGAUCAUCCUCAUCAUCUUCCAGUUCUUCAUCUUCCUCCUCGUCCUCAUCAUCCUCUUCUUCACGUUCUUCAUCCAGCAGUUCAUCAUCACAUAGUAACUCCAGCUCCAGUAACUCAGAUUCUUGUAAAAAGCAAAGAAAAUCUUCAAAGAAAAGGAAAGAGAGACAUGGCAAAAAGAAAGGAAAAAAAGAGAAGAUACGCAAGCGAAAGAAGGAAAAGGGACACAAAGGGCAGGACGACAGCUCUGGACCUGUUCAAAUUUCAAAGUAUCUUAAGGAAAAGAAGAAAAGUGGCAAGUACAGCAUGAUAUCAGGGAAAAAGAUUAAAAUGAAAGUGAAAAAAUCAAAGAAGGACAAGCAGAGGGACAAAAACAGAGCUGAACUGCUGGAGUUCUUAAACUCCACCUUCUGAUUCAGUCCAGACCUGGAACUACAAAACCUUUUUUUUUUUUUUUUGCAUUAUCACCUGACCACCACUCAGGGAAAGACCAUCUUCAACUAUUAAUGUUGUUGCCUGAUGUUAUACAUUGACAAUUCCUUACCAUAAAUUCUUUAUGUAGAUAAUUGUUGUCCAUUUUUUAAUUCCAGGCUGUGUCCUGUAGUACUUAUGUUUUAUGUCUGAUUAACUGUACCCUAUGAGAACUGUAGCUUGGAUGUGACAUUGUUACAUGUUACUGAAAUUGUAAAGAAAAUAAUUAUUCUUGUAUUCUCAUUUUUAAAUGCAAAGCUUAAGUAAAUAACUGAAUCAGUCAAAAGUCAGAGUUGUAAGGAAAUGUUCUGAGAGAUGCAGAAAAUGUUAUGUGAUUAAUAUAUGAACAGUUUGGGCUGAUUCACCAGGGUGAUGAAGGUUGUAUAUUAUGUCUCAAACGGAAGCUUCACCUUUUUUUUUUUAACAAUUCAAAUAUGAAGCAACAUUGUAGUGUUGUUGUUCCAAUAGUGUUUUUCUUGUUAUCCCCUGAUAAUUGGUGUAUGUACUGUGGUGAGCCGAAUGCAAAGGCACCACCAGCAGGUAGUUGAGAACAGCUUCUGAUCUGCCAUUGUGAAUCAUGUGCAUCUGACCAUUCUGAUGACAAUAGGUUAUUGUUAAAUAAAUUGUGUCCUUUA